ACUGCGAGUGAAGAGGGAAGAGCUCAAAUUUAAAAUCUGGCUGCUCUUGCGGUGGUCCGAGUUGUAGUUUAGAGAAGUGCUAUCCGCGCUGGCCUGUGCAAAAGUUUCUUGGAAAAGAACAUCAUAGAGGGUGACAAUCCCGUCUUUGGCACGGACUACCAGGGCUUUUGUGAUGCGCUCUCGACGAGUCGUGUUGUUUGGGAAUGCAGCACUAAAUGGGUGGUAAAUUCCAUCUAAAGCUAAAUAUUGGCGAGAGACCGAUAGCGAACAAGUACCGUGAGGGAAAGAUGAAAAGAACUUUGAAAAGAGAGUUAAACAGUACGUGAAAUUGUUGAAAGGGAAACGCUUGAAGUCAGUCGCGUCUUCCAGGGAUCAAGUUGCCUCCGGGUGACCGCACUUUCUGGUUGAUGGGUCAGCAUCAAUUUUGACCGUCGGACAAAGGCCUGGGGAAUGUGGCAU
rnacentral:rRNA from 1 species